UAACUUGGGCUAGACAGGUCCAAAUGACCUGAUUUUUGUGGCAUUGGAAAGGUAUGACAUAGCACUACAACUCUCAUGAAGAACACUAACCCAAAUUCUACCCAUAACCAAGUGAAAUUUCCACCCAAAUUUAGUUAUCCAAAACUGCCAUAACCAAUAAAGUACUCAGAAAUUCUGGGUAAUACCAAUCCGGCUAGCCUAAGGAAAAUGGCUACAUCUUGAGCUAAAAAACUCCAAAUGGAGUGAUUCAAAAAUAGAAUUAAAGAUAAGACAAUAAGGAACAAAUUUGAUGAAGAACACUUAGCCAAAUUUCCAUAAUAACUAGACCAAUGGAACAGUGCAAUACAUGGCACUAAAAUUGAAAAAUUGAAUUUUCUCUUAGGAGACUUAGAAAUUGAAAUGGCAAGACCAACAAAUUAGGUACUCAAAAUAUGGUAUGUGGGUGUAAUGAGAAUUUGUAUACCUAUUUAGUGUGGAAAAGUCAACAUUUUGACCAAACGGUCAAAUGAAUAGUAACCACCAUAAUCAAGAACACAAAGAACUCAAUUUAUGGGAUUAUAUAAGCAAAGUUUAAAUGCAAAUUUCAAUUGCUAAAAUUUUGGAUAAAUAUUGAGACAUCUUAAUUGUGUACUUCAGUAGAAAAUGGGCAUUCUGAGGAAGGGAAUCGACAUGAGUGAAAUAAGGAAAGACUAAUUACGAGGUUUGUGCACAAAAUUUCUUUUAAAUUAUAGUUUUCACAUUGAAAAUUGAUUUGUUAUACAUUGUGAAUGUGUUUUGUUCAUUAUGAAUUUUCGAGAAUGUUGUGUUGUCUAUUUUACAAUUGAAAUUUGGAAUGAAAAUUAUUUAUUGAGUUGUAUGAAAUAUUUGAACAAUAUGGUUUUAAAUUUGGUUUUGGCCUUGGGAAUUUUAUUUGAAAAUUUAUGUGUUUCCUACUUUAGAAAUGGAGAUUUGAAAUGAAGUUUGUUUGAUUGUUGUAUUAAUUAUAAUUGAACAUUCUAGUUUUAAAUUAUUUUUGAUUUACACUUGGCAUGGCAAUAUUACUAUGUUCCUCCUCCACUUGUGGAGUUGAGUUUGAUAUUUGAUCAUUUUCCUCCCUCUCUGGUUUGCUAAUCUGAGGUGAGUUUGGAUGAGUACUCAUUAGCUAGCUAGCCACCUCCCUCAUUGAUUUCGAUUAGUGGGUUGAGUUUGCCUUGUCGUGGUGUACAACAAGGCAUAUUUGGAAAUUUUGUGUCAUGACCUAAGUUGUGUUAUUGAUUGGCAACACUGUGUUUCUUAAAUUAUUUGACUAAAUUUGUGUUAUAAUGAACUUUGAAAAUUGUGAGAUAAAAUUAUGAAAUAUUUAAAUUGUGAUUUGUCAAUGAAUGUUUUAUAUUAAGCGUUUGUGAAAUAUUUAAAAUAUGAUUUGAAAUUGUGAAACAUAAUUGUAAAAGGUUUUAAUUAUGACUUGCCAAUGCAUGUUUUAUUUACAGUAUUUUAAGUUUUAUUAUGCACCACUGAGUAAAUUUAUACUCAGCGAUAGCUUCCUUUGCUGUCGCAGAUAGAUAAAAGGACAUAGCAGUAGAGUGAGCUGCUACAAUAAGAGAGGAGCACGGUUUUGGAGAUUUUUGUACUGGCGAAGUUUGGUGGAGGCACUGGGCUAUGGGACAAAAUCAUGAGGCUUAUGGCCAAAGCAGACAAUUUCUCUAGUGGUGGGAGCCCGAUCGUUACAUAAAGUGCGACAGAACUGAUUUUGCAACUAGAGUUAAGACUGAUGCACACGUAGACAUUCCUUCUACUCAUGAUGGUAGUGCAUUUGAUCAUGGUAAUGUUAAGUGUGGAGGCACUGGGCUUGGUGAGUCUACUGCUACUGUAGAGCAUGAAAGUGAACAUGUUACAAAACCUAUAGUUGAACCUGUUGUUGAGCAUGAUAGUGAAGAGGUUGUAGAACUUGUAGUUGAACCUACUGUUGAACUUGAGAGUGAACAAAUUGCAGAACCUGCAGUUGAGUCUACACAGAAGAAGGAAGAUUAUCUAAAGGAUCAGCAGGAGAGUACUCCACCUAAACUUUCUAUAGUUGAAGCUUCUCAGGCUAAGAAGAGUAAGAAAAAAGUUAAGUCUACAGUGUCCAAUCCAUAUCAGACUCUGGCUACUGCUCUUCAAAGCCCAUCUGAUGAGGAUGAAUCACAGGAGCGUGAUUCUCAUAACGCUUUUGCUGACCAAGUUUCUUAGCCACCUGCUGCCAAACCCUCCAAGAAGAAGAUAGUGCCUUCCAAAGCUAUUCGAAGGAGCAAAAGGUUUAAUGUUUAUAAAAUGAUCUAUUUUUUUAGUUUACUAAUAUGUUUACUACUAUUGUUGGAUGGUUUUUCAGUUUGCUACUGUUUUUCAAUUUAUGCUUGGUUCUUUUUGGAUUAAUAUCUCCUGUUUCCUUUUUGGAUGAUGACAAAAAGGGGGAGAAUGGAUGUGUGCUUUGUGUGCUUUUGUUUUGUAAAAAUGGAUGUGUGCUUAUAUUUUGAAAAUGGAUGUAUACUUAUGUUUUAGAAGUGUGUAUGCAAACUAUUGUGACUUAUGUGUGCAAACUAUUAAGUUUAAUAUUUUGCAUAUUGAAAUUGUGGAUAUCUUAUGAAUAUGUUUUGUAGCAUAAAUUCAGGGGAAGUUUUGUAUAGCUAUUAAUAUUUUUAUUUUUUUUAACUUGUGUGCAUACAUUUAGGGGGAGUAAUUUCUGCAUACUAACAUGCUUGGUUAUACAUAAACUUACGCACACUUUUAUUUAUUCUUGAUUGAUGAUUUAAUUGAGUUUCGUCAUCAUUAAAAAGGGGGAGAUUGUUGACCCCAUGUAGCUCAAAAUGAGCAUUGAUUUUGAUGAUAACAAAACUCAACUAGAAUCUAUCUAACUCAAUUUCAAGUGAUGUGUAGAUUCUUUCUCUUAUUCAUGAAGAAUCUUUGAAGUUGCAUCUAAGGAGGAAGGGCACUCAAAGGCAUCUCAAGAUGAAUCUAAGUUGAGAAAGAACAAGAUUAUGAAAGCUAAGACUCAAGUUGAAGGUAUGAAAAUCAUAGAGUUAGGAAUUGAGUCUUAGGAUUUGUGUAAAAAUAAUAGAUGAAAGUUUUAGUCAAUUAGAGCUCAAAAUUAAUUUUUCUUUCAAUUACUUUAUAAAAUUUUCUCUCAUCAUGACCUUGGAUAUUGCUAUUGGAAUAUAUAUUUCUCUUAAGGUCUAAAUUAGAUUUUUAAAUAUUACAAUUUGAAACAGGCAUUUGAUAAAUUAGUUUGCUAACUUGUUUGCUAAAAUAUUAGUUUGCUAAUGUUUUUGCUAAAAUAUAGUUUGCUAACUAGUUUACUACUGUUGCCAAAAAUUUCAUUAGUUUGCUAAAUGAUCAGAGUUACUCUACUUCAUACGAAAAGACAAAAUAAUGGCUAUUUUACCUAGAACAGAGUGUAUAAUGUUACAAAAAGGUUUCAAACAGUCUAAAAUGAUUUGGGACUAUAAAUACACAUUCUUUACUUCAUUUUACACUUGAUGAAAGCUUAUAAUUGCACUCCAAUAUUGGUUUUUCAUUUAUUGCUUUCAUUUAAGAACUUUAAAGUGUUUCAGCUACCAUUGGCAAAUUAACUCAUCUCCUCUUUGUAGUUUGAUUUAUAUUGAGUGAGAGUGAGUGUUAAAAUAUAAAAUUGCAUUUAAGAGAGGUUGUACAAGCACCUAUUGAAGCUUAUGAGUGUGAGUGCUUGAGAUAGCACUUGUUAAGGGUUCAAGCUACCUUGGUAAAAGCUUGGUGUUGAAAAAGUUGUAAAGGGCUUUUUGGUCUCUUGCCUUUAAAAGAGCAAAUAGUGGAGUGAAGACUCAAAGAGGGUUCUUUGAGAGAGUGAAUGUAGGCUAGUUAAACUGAACCACUAUAAAAAUCAUUGUGUUUGAUUUCUCUAACCUUAAUCUCUUUACUUUUGUGUAA